CUCAGUGGUCUAGUGGUAUGAUUCUCGCUUUGGGUGCGAGAGGCCAUGGGUUCGAUUCCUGUCUGAG
rnacentral:tRNA from 1 species